rnacentral:rRNA from 1 species
AGGAAUCUGCCUGGUAGUGGGGGAUAACGUCCGGAAACGGGCGCUAAUACCGCAUACGUCCUGAGGGAGAAAGUGGGGGAUCUUCGGACCUCACGCUAUCAGAUGAGCCUAGGUCGGAUUAGCUAGUUGGUGGGGUAAAGGCCUACCAAGGCGACGAUCCGUAACUGGUCUGAGAGGAUGAUCAGUCACACUGGAACUGAGACACGGUCCAGACUCCUACGGGAGGCAGCAGUGGGGAAUAUUGGACAAUGGGCGAAAGCCUGAUCCAGCCAUGCCGCGUGUGUGAAGAAGGUCUUCGGAUUGUAAAGCACUUUAAGUUGGGAGGAAGGGCAGUAAGUUAAUACCUUGCUGUUUUGACGUUACCAACAGAAUAAGCACCGGCUAACUUCGUGCCAGCAGCCGCGGUAAUACGGAGGGUGCAAGCGUUAAUCGGAAUUACUGGGCGUA